GUUUUAGAUGUCCAGAUUAGCAGUCACUACUACCGAAUAUUUUCUAUCUGACAGGCGCUGUGUGAGGAGCUUGACUUGAAAUGACGUCACUGAAACCUCACACUCUGCAAGUGCGCUGUGAAAAUGGAAAUAGAUUCUUAGAGCCUCUUGAUGACAUCUUGUUGGAAUAUAAGACAUAUUGCGUUGAGAUUUGUGAUCUGCAAGAAUUCCAUCUGCACGAUUCACCGGAGACAGUGCCACUGAUGAUUCCAAAUGGUCUAUUCUGCUUAUUUAUUUACCUGCUUAAUAAUAGCAAAUUCAACUGAAAGGACAAUUCGAUUUGGAGGCUUCAGUCAAUUAUUCUAUUUCUUGGAAUGGCUUGUGUGGAACAAAGAGUGGUCCACAUUUUGUUUGAGGCAGUUAAUUUUAUUCUUCCUGAAUAUACUUCAGGGAUUUGUAAAGAAACCACUACCAAGGACCAUCUUACCAGGGCUCAUCAUUGGCUGAACCCAGCCAGAACACAGAGGAUGUGGAAAUCCUGUUGAUGCAGAGGAUAAGUCAGACUUCCAAGACAGAGAGCAGAGUGAAGAAGUUUGGCAAGUAGAGUGGAAGAUGCAUUAUAUACAACUAUAGCUUUCUUUUCAAGAGAUUUUUCUUUAGCUCCAUUGAAAGAAAGGAUUUCUAAAAGACAUAAAUAUACAUUGUACAUUUAUUUAAAUGGAAGUCUCUCUCUACACAGUAUCGCCAUUUAUUCCGAAGUCAUUUAAUGAUUUAUUCAUUUUGGAAAAUAUUUCGGACAUAUAUAAGAGGGUUUGUAUAGAAAGAAGAGUUAUAUAGCUAAAAUACAGCUUAAUAUAUAAAACAUUAUGAAAAAUGAAUCAAAGUCCUUAGAUGUUCUCUCUAUUCACAUUCUUUUCCUCCUCUGCAGAGGUAGCCAGCCUCUGGAAUCUGGUGAAUAUUCUCAUUCAUUUCUUUGAUUGUUAAUAUUUACCUUUACCCACCCAAACAAUAUAUAGAAUUGUUGUUGUUCAGUUAGUAUAAUUCAGUUAUACAAGAUGCAUACAUUCUAGAGAUCUAAUGUACA